AGCAUCCUUCAUUGCCAGAAAAUCCACCACUUCCAAAAUCUUAAUCUCCAGUAUCACAGCCUGACCUACACUUUUCAUUUUUCUAUUUAUUUCCUCCACAUUAUCAUUCUGGUCGUUUUUAAUCCUAUCAGAUUUCCAAUCCUUCUAUUGUGUUGCUUGACUGCGUGUCCUCACGUCCUGUAUUUCCUCCUUUCUCAAAGAACGAUUUCCAGGUCCCAUACUGUCUGAUUAAAUUAGUAAUGCAUGUUCCAAAGCCUUAGGCAAACAAAGCAUUUUUAUCAGGCACAAUAUUCUAAGAGCUUGGAAGAUAUCCCCGAGGAGCUGACCAAGGCCAAUUCUGAAGUCAAGUCAAGACUUUAUUUGUAAUGUGCAGGGUUUGAGCAACACUAACCUGCGAGUUAUUUCCUUCCUGCGUGUAUUUUUAUGGAAAACUGCUCAAAAGUUAUCUAUCCUUUGCAUACAAUUCUUUUUACUAGUUAUUCCAAUGUGGUUUAGAGUAGUAGAGAAUAUUCAAAGGUUAAAAUAAAUAAUAAAACCUUUUAUUAAAAAGAACAGCAUAAGAAAUGCACAUGGCAGUAUGUGAAACUCAGAUUGAAUUAGUGUAGCAAUAGAAAACAAGUAAAAUUUGAAGCUAAGAUGUAAAAUUGAGCAAUAAUUUAACCUCAAGUCAAAUUUGAUAUGCCCCCUCCAAUAUCUAAAUAUAGAGAUGAAGGAAAAUCAGGUUAAAAAAAAAAAACAACUAAAACUAAAAACAUUGCAGAGAGAUCCUGUGACCCUGUGGUAGCUAUGUUUGCCCAUAGGCUCUGGUUCCCUUGAGACAGUCUAAGUCUACAGUUGUUUUUUACACACAGUUAUUAAUAUUGCCCCUUUUCACUCUGGUUUAGUUGAUAAAUUAUAUGACCACUGUAAGCUGCAAUAUUUGUGGAGAAAUCAGUUCCUGUGAGGCAGAGAAAGCGCUUCAUGAGAAAACAGGGGAUGGUAUCCAGGCUCACUACUUAUCCUUAAGCACUCAGGGAGAGCUUCCCCAGUUGUGAAAAAAGCCGUACUUCUCAUAGAAAUGUAGAGUUGCUAUGUCCUCUUCUUCAAUCUUGAAAUACCCUUGUUAUUUCCAUGUGGGGAAAAAAAAAAACAAGAGCCAAUAUCCCCGAAGUCCAAAGAGCUCCUAUAAAAUAAAAAUUUUAAAGAUAUUCAACUC
rnacentral:lncRNA from 1 species